CCAGACUCCUACGGGAGGCAGCAGUGGGGAAUAUUGCACAAUGGGGGAAACCCUGAUGCAGCGACGCCGCGUGAAGGAAGAAGUAUUUCGGUAUGUAAACUUCUAUCAGCAGGGAAGAAAAUGACGGUACCUGACUAAGAAGCCCCGGCUAACUACGUGCCAGCAGCCGCGGUAAUACGUAGGGGGCAAGCGUUAUCCGGAUUUACUGGGUGUAAAGGGAGCGUAGGCGGUUUAGCAAGUCAGAAGUGAAAGCCCGGGGCUCAACUCCGGGACUGCUUUUGGAACUGCGCGGCUGGAGUGCAGGAGGGGCAGGCGGAAUUCCUGGUGUAGCGGUGAAAUGCGUAGAUAUCAGGAGGAGCACCGGUGGCGAAGGCGGCCUGCUGGACUGCGACUGACGUUGAGGCCCGAAAGCGUGGGGAGCAAACAGGAUUAGAUACCCCAGUA
rnacentral:rRNA from 1 species